CCAAUGAAGCCGCGGCGGGGUCUGCUACGCCGAAGAACAAGACUUUAAAGAAAUGGCCACUGGACAAGCUUCCAGAAUUUUCACACGUGGUGCAACCGAUAUUGAAUGGGAACAAAAUGCCUGAGGACAAACAUAAAAGACUAUCCAGGCAACAGAGGGACGAAGUCGCCAUGUUUUUGGAUGAGAAUCACCUCAUAGAGGGGUGUUCAAAAGGAGAGGCAAGGUGGACAUACAAACGUUUAC